UACGUAGGGAGCAAGCGUUGUCCGGAAUCAUUGGGCGUAAAGCGCGCGUAGGUGGCUUCGUAAGUCCGUUGUGAAAGUCAAAGGCUCAACCUUUGAAAGCCGAUGGAUACUGUGAGGCUAGAGUACGGAAGAGGCGAGUGGAAUUCCUGGUGUAGCGGUGAAAUGCGCAGAUAUCAGGAGGAACACCGGUGGCGAAGGCGGGUCUCUGGGCCGAUACUGACGCUGAGGAGCGAAAGCGUGGGGAGCGAACAGG
rnacentral:rRNA from 1 species